UUCAGUUUUGAAGCAUCAUUUCUAAUGACGGGCCUUACCAUUGGAGCCUUAUCAUUUGUACUGGAUCCUACUCACAAGAGUGCAAGAAGAAUGUUCCAUGGUAGCCUUUUGUAUCUUCCUGCAUUAAUGGCUGGACUUAUAUUGCAUCGGCUGCCUAACCAAUGAGACUAGUGAGAUUGUUGGGGUACUUUAUGUUGCUGAGCUGCGGAACGACAAAGAAAGUGCUAGAUAGAAACGGGAACAUUAUCAUGCUGAAUCACGCCCUCGAGUUGCCUAUGCUUAUGUAGCCCCAUUCCCCUUCUUACCUGUACCUGUGUACAUAUCUCCACAAGCUCAUGAGUUGUGAAAGUUCUAAUAUCCCAACAUUCCUUCCUUUUUGUCUGUUAUCAGGAAAUUCUUUUGAGCUCUUGACAAGAAUUGUUAAAAAAUUUCUGAGAAUGAUGAACGCAAUUUUUAGUCGGAAAAAACAUAAAAAACUUGAGCUGUCACGGGGAUUUCGCGGAAAUGCUCAUGAUUUGGAUAUUUUUUUGAACGCAAUGCGCAUGUGGAUAAUCUAGAUAUGAGAUGCAGGAUAAUCUAGGUAUGAGAUGCACACAUAGGAGGUUUUACUCAAGUUAGGGCCAUCUGUUCUAGUGGUAACACACUAUUGUUGGAUGUUUUCUCUGGUAUGAACAAUGUAGGAGAUGCUAUCUUGGCUUUGCCUUAUGUAGAGGGAAUACGGCAGCCGCAUUGCCGCUACAGUUGACGGGAUGGGACACAUGGGGAUGUCGCGCUGCUCCUCGAUUACCAUGUGUGGCGUGUGUAUUAUCAGUUGAUGGCGCAAUUUGCUGCCACGUGGUGGACGAUUCCUGUCUAUUUUGAAAGUGGAUUUUGAUUUCCCAUGAUAGUGGAGUUGCGAGGCCAGGAUGGUUAUUGUAGCAUUUUGAGUGAAGACAAUGAUUUUUCCAACUUAUAUUUCCGUCCAAGGAUGAGGGAGAUUGUCUACCAAUGAGACAAUGAACCUAUGGUGUGCACAUACAUGUGUUCCUACAUGGUCUGUAGUUCAAACUCCAAACAUACGUUGGCCAUACACAAUCUCCAUCGUCUGUUUUCCCAAAUGUUAUGGAUUGUUUAGAUUUCGAAGAAGAACAUGAUGACUUUCAAGAAAAGCAUGUAGAAACUCCGAGAAGCUAGCACACUAUUUUUAAGACUCUACUAGUUGACGUAGGAGAAUGUGAAGAGACAUGAAAGGCACUUGUAAAAGAUCCGCCAUUUCAAGUUACUCUUCCUUCCCCUAUGCAUCCCAUGUCUAAUGGCUUCAAAUGGACUCCCCUUUGAAGAAACAAAAUCUCAUUCCCGAGGCACUUGAUCCCCAGAUUCACUCUCUCAGGUUGCACUCUUCCACGAGCAGACUCAGAUUGUUGAGCACGAUUUGCAAUGCCUUGUGGCCAACUCAAUUGAUGCUCCCUCACCAUUCGUCCUUGUUUUCUUUCUCCUCUCCCACUUAUAUCGUGAUUCAAGAAGGGGAUUAGAUGCGGCAAGUAGUUGAUAGGCUUGAGUCACAUGAGGGAAGUAGGGAUGGUUCCGAAGGUGAGUGGGGAUAAAUUUAGUGGUAAAGGAGGAAAGUAUAUAUCACUGGAAGACGCAGAAAGUGUAUAUCGCGAGAUGUCUCAACUUGAACUACCAUGUGAAGCAAUUGGAAGAAAGAGAGAAGGUUAGGUAGAACGCAACGCUUGGUGUGAAGAACCUAAAUAGGCAAGACUGGAGGAUAAGGGGGUUAUGGGGAGUGGAGGGAGUUUAAAUGUAGAAGCAAUAUACUCUCUUAUUUUGGGACGGAGGGAGUAUUUCACAUGACCAUGCAUAUAAGCUCAGUUCUCCCACAUGGACAUUGUAAUCUUCAAUAUAGUCUGGUAUUAUAUUUCAUAAACGCUGACCUGAAUCAACAUCAAUAAACCCGAGGCGUGCAUUUAUCUAUUUUCUUUUCUUUUGCGGUGUUCAAUGGCGCCAUUACUUCACCAUGCAUUGGACUUGAAGGUCUUUAGGGGCUGGGAUGUACUGUGGUGCAGGUAAAGCAACAAAUAAACUUGUAACAAAUAAACUUGGUCAAACUUGAGAUGUUAAUCAUGGAACUAACAAAUGGUUAAUGCGUAGGGGGUAUAACAUCUGGAUGGUACGGUUUUGAAGCAUCGCUUCUAACAAAGGGCCUUACCAUUGGAGCCUUGUCAUUUGUAUUGGAUCCUACUCACAAGAGUGCAAGAAUAAUGUUCCAUGGUAGCCUUUUGUAUCUUCCUGCUUUACUGGUUGGACUUAUAUUGCAUCGGCUGCCUAACCAAUGAGACUAGCUAGUGAGAUCGCCGGGGUUCUUUGUGUUGCUGAGCUGCGGGACGACCAAGAAAGAGCUAGACAGAAACGGGAACAUUAUCGUGCUCAAUCACGCCCUCCAGUUGACUAUGCUUCUGUAGCCCCAUUCCCCUUCUUACCUGUACCCGUGUACAUAUCUCGACAAGCUUAUGAAUAAUGAAUGCCUUACUUAUCCUAGCAUUCCUUCCUUUUUUUCUGUUAUCGGGAAAUUCUUUUUCGCUCUUCCACAAGAAUGUUUCCUGCUCAAGGGAAAUCAUCUUUGUAUUGCUAAAAUAAAAUCGGAGAAUGAUGAACGUA
rnacentral:lncRNA from 1 species